rnacentral:snRNA from 1 species
GUCUCUGAGUCACUGAGUUUUAUAAUUAAAUAUAAGAAAUAAUUUAACAAAUCAAGUUUUUUGCGACUAUUUUUAAGAACGAGUGUAAAUGAAACUUUUUUGAGCAGACUAAGAUAUUUGUAUAUCUUGGAUAAAUCAUUAAAGUGAUACUAAAUGCUGGUAAUAACCGGGGCUAAUCAAGCAAGAUUAUGUCUUGCGUUAUCGUUAAUCCUGACCUGUCACUGGCUAUAAUUCUUGGACUUUAUUGCCGAU